AUGUGUGUGUGUGUCUCUGUGUGUGUGUGUCUGUGUGUGUGUGUCUCUGUGUGUGUGUGUCUCUGUGUGUGUCUGUCUCUGUGUGUGUGUCUGUGUGUGUGUGUCUGUCUCUGUGUGUGUGUGUCUGUCUCUGUGUGUGUGUGUCUGUGUGUGUGUGUCUCUGUGUGUCUCUGUGUGUGUCUGUCUCUGUGUGUGUGUGUCUAUCUGUGUGUGUGUGUCUGUUUGUGUGUGUCUGUCUCUGUGUGUGUGUCUAUCUCUGUGUGUGGGUCUGUCUGUGUGUGUGUCUGUGUGUGUGUGUCUGUCUCUGUGUGUGUGUGUGUGUGUCUGUCUCUGUGUGUGUCUAUCUGUGUGUGUGUCUCUGUGUGUGUGUCUGUGUGUGUGUGUGUCUGUCUCUGUGUGUGUCUGUGUGUGUGUGUCUCUGUGUGUGUGUCUGUGUGUGUGUGUCUGUCUCUGUGUGUGUCUGUCUGUGUGUGUGUGUGUCUGUGUGUGUGUCUGUCUCUGUGUGUGUCUAUCUGUGUGUGUCUCUGUGUGUGUCUAUCUGUGUGUGUGUCUCUGUGUGUGUGUGUCUGUCUGUGUGUGUGUCUCUGUGUGUGUGUCUCUGUGUGUGUGUGUCUGUCUCUGUGUGUGUGUCUGUCUCUGUGUGUGUGUGUCUGUGUGUGUGUCUGUCUGUGUGUGUCUAUCUGUGUGUGUGUGUCUCUGUGUGUGUGUCUAUCUGUGUGUGUGUCUCUGUGUGUGUGUCUCUGUGUGUGUGUCUGUCUCUGUGUGUGUGUGUGUCUCUGUGUGUGUGUGUCUGUCUGUGUGUGUGUGUCUCUGUGUGUGUCUAUCUGUGUGUGUGUGUCUCUGUGUGUGUGUGUCUAUCUGUGUGUGAGUCUCUGUGUGUGUGUGUCUGUCUCUGUGUGUGUGUCUCUGUGUGUGUGUGUGUCUCUGUGUGUGUGUCUGUCUCUGUGUGUGUGUGUGUGUCUGUGUCUGUCUGUCUCUGUGUGUGUGUGUGUCUGUGUGUGUGUCUGUCUGUGUGUGUCUAUCUGUGUGUGUGUGUCUCUGUGUGUGUGUCUAUCUGUGUGUGUGUCUCUGUGUGUCUAUCUGUGUGUGUGUGUCUCUGUGUGUGUGUCUGUCUCUGUGUGUGUGUCUGUGUGUGUGUGUCUGUCUCUGUGUGUGUGUGUCUGUCUCUGUCUCUGUGUAUGUGCCUGUGUGUGUGUCUGUCUCUGUGUGUGUGUGUCUCUGUAUGUGUCUGUGUGUAUGUGUCUCUGUGUGUGUCUGUCUCUGUGUGUGUGUCUCUGUGUGUGUGUCUGUCUCUGUGUGUGUGUGUCUGUGUGUGUCUGUCUGUCUGUCUCUGUGUGUGUGUGUGUCUGUCUCUGUGUGUGUAUGUGUGUGUGUCUGUGUGUGUCUCUGUGUGUGUAUGUGUGUCUGUCUCUGUCUCUGUGUAUGUGUCUGUGUGUGUGUCUGUCUCUGUGUGUGUGUGUCUGUCUGUCUCUGUGUGUGUGUGCCUGUCUGUCUCUGUGUGUGUGUGUGUGUCUGUGUGUAUGUGUCUGUCUGUCUGUCUCUGUGUGUGUGUGUCUGUCUCUGUGUGUGUGUAUGUGUGUGUGUGUCUCUGUGUGUGUGUCUGUCUCUGUGUGUGUGUCUGUGUGUGUGUCUGUGUGUGUGUCUCUGUGUGUGUGUCUGUGUGUAUGUGUCUGUCUGUCUCUGUGUGUGUGUCUCUGUGUGUGUGUGUCUCUGUGUAUGUGUCUGUCUGUCUGUCUCUGUGUGUGUGUGUCUGUCUCUGUGUGUGUGUAUGUGUGUGUGUGUCUGUCUGUGUGUGUCUCUGUGUGUAUGUGUGUAUGUGUGUGUGUGUGUGUGUCUGUCUCUGUCUCUGUGUGUGUGUCUGUGUGUGUGUCUGUCUCUGUGUGUGUGUGUCUGUCUGUCUCUGUGUGUGUGUGCGCCUGUCUGUCUCUGUGUAUGUGUGUCUCUGUGUGUGUGUGUGUGUCUGUGUGUGUAUGUGUGUCUGUGUGUGUGGGUGUUUCCUUAGUAUCUCUCAUACCACAUUGA
rnacentral:lncRNA from 1 species